CGAGCGAGUGAUCGUAAGCAAAUCUCAAAAAUAACGUCUCAGUUCGGAUUGUAGUCUGCAACUCGACUACAUGAAGUUGGAAUCGCUAGUAAUCGCGAAUCAGAAUGUCGCGGUGAAUACGUUCCCGGGUCUUGUACACACCGCCCGUCACACCAUGGGAGUCGGGAAUGCCCGAAGUCAGUGACCCAACCGGAAGGAGGGAGCUGCCGAAGGCAGGCUCGAUAACUGGGGUGAAGUCGUAACAAGGUAGC
rnacentral:rRNA from 1 species